UGGGGAAUCUUGCACAAUGGGGGAAACCCUGAUGCAGCGACGCCGCGUGAGCGAUGAAGCCUUUCGGGGUGUAAAGCUCUUACGCCAGGGACGAUAGUGACGGUACCUGGAGAAGCAGCUGCGGCUAACUACGUGCCAGCAGCCGCGGUAAUACGUAGGCAGCAAGCGUUGUUCGGAAUUACUGGGCGUAAAGGGUGCGUAGGCGGUGCUCUAAGUUUGGUGUGAAAUCUCCCGGCUUAACUGGGAGGGUGCGCCGAAAACUGGAGUGCUUGAGUGUGGGAGAGGAAAGCGGAAUUCCUGGUGUAGCGGUGAAAUGCGUAGAGAUCAGGAGGAACACCUGCGGUGUAGACGGCUUUCUGGACCAUAACUGACGCUGAGGCACGAAAGCGUGGGUAGCAAACAGGAUUAGAUACCCUGGUAGUCCACGCCCUAAACGAUGCAUACUUGGUGUGGGUUCUUCACUGGAUCCGUGCCGGAGUUAACGCGUUAAGUAUG
rnacentral:rRNA from 1 species